GGCCUGGUAGUUCAGCUGGUUAGAAUGCCGCCCUGUCACGGCGGAGGUCGUGGGUUCGAUUCCCAUCCAGGUCG
rfam:Anaerococcus lactolyticus ATCC 51172 genomic scaffold SCAFFOLD3, whole genome shotgun sequence.